rnacentral:lncRNA from 1 species
UCUUAUGAUUCUUAGCCUAACAAUGAGAGUUUCAUACUCAACUUCAUUGUUGGUGGUAGGAAAGUUGAACUGUAAGGCGUACUCCAUAACAAAUCCUUCCGAUCCAAGGAGUAGCAGGUCUGCUCUCAAUCUUGCAGAGCUGGAUGAACCGUCCACAUGCACCACCCAAAAUCCAUCUAAUUCUCCAAACGAGCCUUGCUCAAUGGGUUUGAUCUCUUCCUAGAUUGGUUCGGGCUUUUCUUGGUCCUUUAGGAUGGUGCA